GAUGAAGAACGCAGCGAAAUGCGAUAAGUAGUGUGAAUUGCAGAAUUCCGUGAAUCAUCGAAUCUUUGAACGCACAUUGCGCCUUCUGGUAUUCCGGAAGGCAUGCCUGUUUGAGAGUCAUUAACAACCGUUUCGAUCCCUUUCUUUCAGAAAUUACAAAGAGGAAAAGGGUUUGGUUAUGGUGGAGGAGGGAAAGGGAGCGUUUAGCCUGUAAAAAAAGAGGCUGUGUUCCGCCUCCCCCCCAAAAUUGUACAGGCGGUCGUGUGCGCCCACGCAUCGAGGUGUUGUAAAAGCUGCCACGGCACUUUUCACCUGUGCAGUGCGAGAUUGGCCAGCCGGUUUAAAAACCCCUCCAAACAAUCAAAGGUUGACCUCGGAUCAGGUAGGGAUACCCGCUGAACUUAAGCAUAUCAAUAACGGAGGA
rnacentral:misc_RNA from 1 species